GGGUAUGUUAAUAGCAUACUCAUUUGACGUUAGCUGCAGAAGAAGCACCGGCUAACUCCGUGCCAGCAGCCGCGGUAAUACGGAGGGUGCGAGCGUUAAUCGGAAUUACUGGGCGUAAAGCGCAUGCAGGUGGUUUGUUAAGUCAGAUGUAGAAACGCCCGGGGCUCAACCUCGGAAUUGCAUUUAGAAACUGGACAAACUAGAGUACUGUAGAGGGGGUAGAAUUUCAGGUGUAGCGGUGAAAUGCGUAGAGAUCUGAAGGAAUACCGGUGGCGAAGGCGGCCCCCUGGACAGAUACUGACACUCAGAUGCGAAAGCGUGGGGAGCAAACAGGAUUAGAUACCCUGGUAG
rnacentral:rRNA from 1 species